GCACGCAUGCCAGGUGAGCGCGCUACCGCUUGAGCCACAUCCCCAGCCCUGAACCCAGGGCUUUGUGCAUAGUAGGCAAGCACUCAAACACUGAGCCAUACCUCCAGCCUGCUACCUCAUUUUAGUGUAUCCUUUUUUCAGAGAAGUUUGUACCUGAAGAAACAAGAAAGGAUCAGCACCAAAAUUAGCUUGAACAUAAAUCUCAGAAAAUUGAAAGGAGAACAAAAGGAAAAUUAGUCUAAAGGCUGUGUGUGAGAAGAAAUGAAAGAGGAUAAGAACUGAUGAUUAUAGUAUCCAGGGUAGAGAGAAAGAAUCAAAACUAUCUCUAUUUGUAUGAUUUUGAAUAUAGAAAACUCUAAGGAAUCCACAAAAAGCCUAUUAGAACUAAUAAAUGAGUUCAGUAAGGUUCAGUAUACAAAAUCAAUACACAAAAAUCAGUUGGAUUUCUAAACACUAAAAAUGAACCAUCUGUAAAUGAAAUUGAGAAAAUGUUUUUAUUAAAAUAGUAUCAAGAUGAAAAAUAUGAGUAAAUUUAACAAAAGAAGUACAAGAUUUAUGCACUAAAAACUAUAAAACAUUGUUAAAAAAUUAAACAGACCUAAAUAAAUGAGAAGACAUCCCAUGUUCAUGAAUAAAAGUGAAUAGAUGGUAUUUGGGGUGAUGGCAUUACUCCUCAAACUGAUCUACAUUUUUCAUACAAUAUCUAUACAAAUUUCAACUGACUGGGAUUGGAUAUGUAGCUCACUAGUAAAGUGCUUGCCUAGCAUGUAUGAGGCCCCCAGUUUGAUCU
rnacentral:lncRNA from 1 species